GUUUUCGUGGCCUAGUGGUUAUGGCAUCUGUCUUACAAACUAGAACUUGUUCGAUCACAGAAGAUCCCCGGUUCGAUCCCGGGCGAGAACA